AGCUCAGGUGAGAGUAAAGCACUUGUCUAGCGAAUAAGGGUCGUGAGUUCAAAUCUCACCUGAGCUG
rnacentral:tRNA from 1 species